UGACAGCUCAGUCGGUACAGCUUGAGACUCUUAAUCUCACGGUUGUGGGUUUGAGUCUUACAAAUGGGGCAAAA